GGGAAAAAAGCCCAGCAGUUAGAGCGUGGUGCUGAUAACACCAAGGUCGUGGGUUUGAUCCCCGUUUGAUCCC
rnacentral:tRNA from 1 species